UACAGAGGUCCCAAGCGUUGUUCGGAUUCAUUGGGCGUAAAGGGUGCGUAGGCGGCGGGGCAAGUCUGAUGUGAAAUCCUGGGGCUCAACCCUGGAACUGCAUUGGAUACUUCCUUGCUAGAGUACUGGAGAGGAAACUGGAAUUUACGGUGUAGCAGUGAAAUGCGUAGAGAUCGUAAGGAAGACCAGUGGCGAAGGCGAGUUUCUGGACAGUUACUGACGCUGAGGCACGAAGGCCAGGGGAGCAAACGGG
rnacentral:rRNA from 1 species